rnacentral:rRNA from 1 species
AUUGAACGCUGGCGGCAGGCCUAACACAUGCAAGUCGAGCGGAGGAAGGGAGCUUGCUCCUGGAUUCAGCGGCGGACGGGUGAGGAAUGCCUAGGAAUCUGCCUGGUAGGGGGGGAUAACGUCCGGAAACGGGCGCUAAUACCGCCUACGGCCUGAGGGAGAAAGUGGGGGGUCUUCGGACCUCACGCUAUCAGAUGAGCCUAGGUCGGAUUAGCUAGUUGGUGGGGUAAAGGCCUACCAAGGCGACGAUCCGUAACUGGUCUGAGAGGAUGAUCAGUCACACUGGAACUGAGACACGGUCCAGACUCCUACGGGAGGCAGCAGUGGGGAAUAUUGGACAAUGGGCGAAAGCCUGAUCCAGCCAUGCCGCGUGUGUGAAGAAGGUCUUCGGAUUGUAAAGCACUUUAAGUUGGGAGGAAGGGCAGUAAGUUAAUACCUUGCUGUUUUGACGUUACCAACAGAAUAAGCACCGGCUAACUUCGUG